GGGUACGAUCAUGCCAGCACUAAAGAACCAGAAACCAUCAGAACUCUGAAGUUAACCGUGCUUGGGCAAGAGUAGUGCUAGGAUGGGUGAGCCCCUGGGUAGUCCUCGUGUUUCCCUCC
rnacentral:rRNA from 15 species